GCAGGUGCGGUGGCUCACGUCUGUAAUCCCAGCAUUUUGGGAGGCCGAGGCGGGCAGAUCACUUGAGGUCAGGAGUUCGAGACAAGCCUGGCCAACAUGGUGAAACCCCAUAUCUACUAAAAAUACAAAAAUUAGCAGGGCAUGGUGGCACGUGCCUGUAGUCCCAGCUACUCGGGAGGCUGAGGCAAGAGAAUUGCUUGAAACCGGGAGGCAGAGGUUGCAGUGAGCUGAGAUCGUGCCACUGCACUCCAGCCCAGGUGACAGAGCAAGACUACAUCUCAAAAAAAAAAAAAAAAAAAAAAGAAAAGAAAAGAAAUAUAAUGCAAGUAAAACACUGUAAGCUAUAUACAUACUACGACUUAGAUGAACCUUGAGGAUGUUAUGCUAAGUGAAAUAAGCCAGUCACAGCCUGGCGCGAUGGCUCAUGCCUGUAAUCCCAGCACUUUGGGAGGCUGAGGCAGGAGAAUUGCUUGAAACCAAAGGCAGAGGUUGCAUGACUAAGAUCGUGCCACUGCACUCCAGCCUGGCAACAGAGGGAGACUCCAUCUCAAAAAAAAAAAAGCCGGUCACAACAAGCCAAAUCAGUAUGAUUCCAUUUAUAUCUAGCAUAGUCAAAUUCAUAUAAACAAAGUAGAAUGGUAGUUGCCAGCAACUACUGGACAGGAGGAAACAGGGAGUUUCAUUUAACAAGCGUAGAAUUUCAGUUUUGCAAGAGCAAUGUGAAUAUACUUAACACUAUUCAACUGUACACUGUUACGUGUUCUUUACCAAAAGCAAAUUUUUUAAUACAAAAAUUUUAAAAACCAAGCCAUAUAUGUAAUUUAAAUUGUCUAGGAGUCACAUUAAAAAAUUAAAGAAACAAGUAAAAUUAAUUUUAGGGCCAGAUGCGGGGGCUCACACCUCUAAUCCCAGCACUUUGGGAGGCCGAGACGGGCGGAUCACGAGGUCAGGAGAUCGAAACCAUUCUGGCUAACAUGGUGAAACCCCAUCUCUACUAAAAAAUACAAAAAAUAUUAGCCGGGCAUGGUGGCAGGCGCCUGUAGUCCCAGCUACUCGGGAGGCUGAGGCAGGAGAAUAGCAUGAACCUGGGAGGUGGAGCUUGCAGUGAGCCAGUGAUUGCGCCAGUGCACUCCAGCCUGGGCAACAGAGCGAGACUCCAUCUCAAAAAAUAAUAAUAAUUAAUUUUACUACAUUUCUUUUACAACAAUAUAUCCAAAUAUUGCAAAAUGUAACCAAUAUAAAAAUUAGUGAGAUGUGUUACAUUCCUAUUUUUUGCACUGAGUCCUCAAAAUCUG
rnacentral:lncRNA from 1 species